GUCAUAUGACUCCAUUUGAGCAAUGAGAGGCAGCUCUGGGAUUGUUGCUGGAACCUCUGUGAAAGCAGAGGAAGCUGGAAAGGAUGUAAUACAGUAGCUGCUGAUGAUCAUCUUGCCACCAUAGGGCUCUUUCAGAUCUUCAAGAAUGUUUAAGCAUACAAAGAAGCCCCGAGACCACAAGGGUGAGAACUACCAUCCUCCCCGCUCUCCGGAUGCUCCCACAGCCUGGGCUCCCCAGUGCAGAGCCAGCACCAAGCAGGAGAUGCAGUACAGUGUGCCCAGGACCAUGGCAGCCAUCACAUAUGCCCUCCACUGGGGAACAAGAAGUGCGUUAGGCUGAUGUACUCCACUCCACCUCCAUACGUGUUUGUGCAGUGACACCAGCCUGGAGGGCCUUCUAUCGCCAUCUCCCUCCUCUGUAAAUCCUACCCACUCUUUGAGUCUUGGCCCAAGGGCUGCUGUCUCUCUCUCUCUCAAAUGAUUUCUGUGUUCUCAUUUGUCUCUGCCUUCUCUGGGAAUCUUUGGUGCCACAGGGUAAUCUCCUGUGUGUCACUCCUGACUUCCUAAUUCAUCUGCCAUCUCCUUCCUUGAAAGCGGAAAUAGUGACUUCUUCUGCUUCCCUACAUUGCCUAAUAACAAUAACAACUACCAUAAUAAUACUUGCUAACAAUUAUUAAACAGUCACCAUUAUAAUAUUAGCUCAUUUACUCCUUGCAACAGCUCUCUAAGGUGGGCUCUAUGAUAUUAGCCUCAUUUUACAGAUGAGAGGACUGAGGCUCAGAAAGGUUAAAGAACUGCCCAAGCCACACAGUUCAGAAAUGGAGGCCAGCAUAUAAGCCAGUUCAACUCUGAUUGGCGACUGCUAGAAAUCAAUGGAGUGAUAUGCACUUAGCACUGUGCCGGGGGGAUAGAAAGUGCUCUACUACCCAGUAAGCAUUUAUUGAGCACCUACUAUGUGUCAGGCACUGCUAGGUGCUGUGGGUUCAGCUGUGAGCCAAGCAAAGUCCCUUCUCUCCUCGUGCUUGUAGGCUGUUCCUGCCUAAGCCUUCCCUCUGCUGUUCCCUCAGCUUGAAAUGUUUUCCCCAGGUUCCCACAUGGCUUGCUCCAUCACCUCCUUUAGGUCUCUGCUCAAAUAUCACCUUAUCAGUGAGGCUUCCUCUGACCUCACCACCUAAAAUCUCAACUUGCUCUGCCCUUCCCUGCAGCACAUCCUGCCCGAUGCCUGCAUGUGCUAUGGGCCUCACUCACUCAUGGGUAAUAUCUGUUUCCCCUGCAGGACGUCAGCUCUGUGAGGGUGGAAGAUGUGUCUGUCUUUUCCCUGCUAUAGCCUCUGGCACAGCAUAGCACCUGGUAUACAGUAGAUGCUCAGAAACCAUGUGCCAAAUGGAUGAAUGAGCAUGGUUGGUGGUGAAAAUUGUUAUGAGGAAGAAUGAAGAGAGUUGGUGAGCAGGAAGUUGCUGUUGCCAUCAAGGGAGCCAUUGUCCCAUGAGCCAUUGAACUCCACGGAGCCCUAGUUUAUGCUGCUGUGGAAGUGGCUCCCCAGCUUUCCCUAGAUGUGGGCUCCUACUAGCAUGCUGACAGCUUCCAUACCUAUGCCUGCGGAGGCGACUUAGGAGACCAGCGGACUUACUUCCUGGUCCCAGGAUGAAGUAAAGAAGCCAGCAGAUGGUGCCAAAGGCAACCUCUAUUUACCCUUGCUGCUCAUUAGCAUAAGACACUCCCACCAGUGCCGUGACAGUUUACAAAUGCCAUGGCAACGAGCUGCAAGUUACCACCCCUUUCCAUGGCAACAACUCGGCAUUUGUUCUUUUCUAGAGCAUUCUGAAUAACAAACCUCUUAAUUUGCAUGUAAUUAAAAACUUUUGGGUCUGGUAAAGAUCUUAAAUGUUUUUAGCACACACACACACACAAAUGUAAGUGGGUGAGGUGACAGAUGUGUUAACUAACACGAUUGUGGCACUCAUUUCACAAUGUAUAUGUAUAUCAAAUCAGCAUGUUGCACACCAUAAAUUUACACAAUUUUGUCAAUCAUACCUCAAGAAAGCUGGGAAAACAGAAUCAUACCACAAAUUCACUGUUUUAGAACAUGCAAUUAAGCAGUUUUAGUAUAUUUACAGAACUGUGCAACCAUUAUCACUACUAAUUCUAGCAUAUUU
rnacentral:lncRNA from 10 species